rnacentral:rRNA from 1 species
GACGAACGCGGGCGGCGUGCUUAACACAUGCAAGUCGAACGAAGAGGGAUGGAAGCUUGCUUCUGUCAAUCUUAGUGGCGAACGGGUGAGUAACGCGUAAUCAACCUGCCCUUCAGAGGGGGACAACGUUGGAAACGAAUGCUAAUGCCGCAUACGAUCCAAUCUCGGCAUCGAGAGUGGAUGAAAGGUGGCCUCUAUUUAUAAGCUAUCACUGAAGGAGGGGAUUGCGUCUGAUUAGCUAGUUGGAGGGGUAACGGCCCACCAAGGCGAUGAUCAGUAGCCGGUCUGAGAGGAUGAACGGCCACAUUGGGACUGAGACACGGCCCAGACUCCUACGGGAGGCAGCAGUGGGGAGUCUUCCGCAAUGGACGAAAGUCUGACGGAGCAACGCCGCGUGAGUGAUGACGGCCUUCGGGUUGUAAAGCUCAGUUAAUCGGGACGAAUGGUUCUUGUGCAAAUAGUGCGAGGAUUUGACGUACCGGAAUAGAAAGCC